GAUGAACGCUCGCUGUGUGCUAAUACAUGCAUGUUGAACGGGAUGUAGCAAUACAUUCAGUAGCGAAUGGGUGAGUAACACGUACCUAACCUACCUUUAAGACUGGGAUAACUAUUGGAAACAAUAGCUAAUACCGGAUAUAGUUAUUUAUCGCAUGAUGAGUAAUAGAAAGGAGCUUCACAGCUUCACUUAAAAAUGGGGGUGCGGAACAUUAGUUAGUUGGUAGGGUAAUGGCCUACCAAGACGAUGAUGUUUAGCCGGGCCGAGAGGCUGUACGGCCACACUGGGACUGAGAUACGGCCCAGACUCCUACGGGAGGCAGCAGUAGGGAAUCUUCGGCAAUGGACGGAAGUCUGACCGAGCAACGCCGCGUGAGUGAAGAAGGUUUUCGGAUCGUAAAGCUCUGUUGUAAGAGAAGAACGAGUGUGAGAGUGGAAAGUUCACACUGUGACGGUAUCUUACCAGAAAGGGACGGCUAACUACGUGCCAGCAGCCGCGGUAAUACGUAGGUCCCGAGCGUUGUCCGGAUUUAUUGGGCGUAAAGCGAGCGCAGGCGGUUAGAUAAGUCUGAAGUUAAAGGCUGUGGCUUAACCAUAGUACGCUUUGGAAACUAUUUAACUUGAGUGCAAGGGGGGAGAGUGGAAUUCCAUGUGUAGCGGUGAAAUGCGUAGAUAUAUGGAGGAACACCGGUGGCGAAAGCGGCUCUCUGGCUUGUAACUGACGCUGAGGCUCGAAAGCGUGGGGAGCAAACAGG
rnacentral:rRNA from 1 species